GAGGGGAUUUCAUGAAGGAUCAUUAUCUCAGAGACAUCUCUGACGGCUUACAUUGUCAACAACAAAUGAAAUAGUGCCUACACACUCCUUCCCCUCUAUAAGGAGGUGUGGAUACCGCAAGGAUAUCUACGGGAUGAAACAAGGGAUACAUAAGGAUAUCUGACAAAGGACAAACAGGAAAGCUGAACACUCACUUGGUUGGACAGACAGCCUGGUCCCUGAGCCAAAGGUCAGUUUGCCGUUUGCAGAGCCAUAGCCACACAGCAUUUCCUCCCAUUACAAAAAGCCCAGGAAGCUCCUGGAGAAGUGGCACUUUGCCCCAAGGUUGAGCAUAGCUGUGCAAAGGCUAGCUGGGGCAACAGCAGGGUGGGAUGAGGCUGAAGGAUCCUAGGCCACAAGUGAAGGUUAAUAGUCUGGCUUUGUGGGAUGUAAUAGGGCCCAAAACUAAGAGGCAACCCCAAAACUAUCUCUACCCCUGUCCUCACAGUACUGCCGGGCUGUAUGCUGGGUUUCUAUGACAAAGGAAAAGACACUUUGGUUUUCAGUGCAAUUUUCUGCUUACUUGGUACAACUGAAAGCACAGUUCCCUUUCCAAAAGUGACUUUGCCCACAUCAUAUGCACUGUGGCACGUCUCAUUACAAAAGUGUCUGCCAGUCCUGCACGUGAUCUCAAGCACAAAGCACCUGAACUCAGGCCAUGGCAGAGCUCCCUGACAAAACAGGCUCAAGUGAAGGGCCACUACCUGCAAGAAAGGAAAAUCCAUUCCCUAGCUCACUUGCACUUUUCAGAGGAGCGUUCCAUGCUGCAUUUUUUAAUUAUUAAGCCCCACGAGAGACAACUCUCACCUACAGUAACGUUUGCCCAGAAUCAGGGGGACCAUGUGUGUGGCACUGCUUCUGUGCACAAAGCAUGUGGAAAACCAUCACGUCAGGCAAUCUAUGCGUUUCACAGGCUGCUGAGAGAUGACAGGACUGCUGCUUCUGUCAUGAGCCAAAGCCUGUCCUGAGGGAAAGCACAUCACGGGUAGCCCCGCAGCUGCAGAAGCACAAGGUUUGAGAACUGCAGCAGACUGAGGCACAUUCAGAUAGCAGCUCAUGAACGGCUCUGCAAGAGCUGUGAAAAAUGCAUUUGGUCAGCAACUACGCAAGCUU